CCUGGCUCAGAGCGAACGCUGGCGGCAGGCUUAACACAUGCAAGUCGAGCGGGCGUAGCAAUACGUCAGCGGCAGACGGGUGAGUAACGCGUGGGAACAUACCUUUUGGUUCGGAACAACACAGGGAAACUUGUGCUAAUACCGGAUAAGCCCUUACGGGGAAAGAUUUAUCGCCGAAAGAUUGGCCCGCGUCUGAUUAGUUAGUUGGCGGGGUAAUGGCCCACCAAGACAGUGAUCUGUAUCCGGCCUGAGAGGGCGCACGGACACACUGGAACUGAAACACGGUCCAGACUCCUACGGGAGGCAGCAGUGGGGAAUUUUGCGCAAUGGGGGAAACCCUGACGCAGCAACGCCGCGUGGAGGAUGAAGUCCCUUGGGAACGUAAAACUCCUUUCGAUCGGGACGAUUAUGACGGGUACCGGAAGAAGAAAGGCCCCGGCUAA
rnacentral:rRNA from 1 species